rnacentral:rRNA from 1 species
CCUACGGGAGGCAGCAGUGGGGAAUAUUGGGCAAUGGAGGAAACUCUGACCCAGCGACGCCGCGUGCGGGAUGAAGGCCUUCGGGUUGUAAACCGCUUUCAGUAGGGAAGAAGCGAAAGUGACGGUACCUACAGAAGAAGCACCGGCUAACUAUGUGCCAGCAGCCGCGGUAAUACAUAGGGUGCAAGCGUUGUCCGGAAUUAUUGGGCGUAAAGAGCUCGUAGGUGGUUCGUCACGUCGGAUGUGAAAAUCUGGGGCUCAACCCCAGACCUGCAUUCGAUACGGGCGAUCUAGAGUGUGGUAGGGGAGACUGGAAUUCCUGGUGUAGCGGUGGAAUGCGCAGAUAUCAGGAGGAACACCAAUGGCGAAGGCAGGUCUCUGGGCCAUUACUGACACUGAGGAGCGAAAGCGUGGGGAGCGAACAGGAUUAGAUACCCUGGUAGUCCACGCCGUAAACGGUGGGCACUAGUUGUGGGAACCUUCCACGGUUUCUGCGACGCAGCUACGCAUUAAGUAGCCCGCCCGUCGGGAGGUACGAUCGCAAGAAUUAAACUAACAAGGAAAGUAGACGGCGUGAGACGUGCCGAACGGACGACGACGAGGGAGGUAGG